rnacentral:rRNA from 1 species
UACGUAGGGGGCUAGCGUUGUCCGGAAUCAUUGGGCGUAAAGCGCGUGUAGGCGGUUCGGUAAGUCCGCUGUGAAAGUCGGGGGCUCAACCCUCGGAUGCCGGUGGAUACUGUCGAGCUUGAGUACGGAAGAGGCGAGUGGAAUUCCUGGCGUAGCGGUGAAAUGCGCAGAUAUCAGGAGGAACACCAAUUGCGAAGGCAGCUCGCUGGGACGUUACUGACGCUGAGACGCGAAAAGCGUGGGGGAGCAAACAGG